GCUGGGCACAGUGGCACAUGCCUGUAAUCCCAGCUGCUUAGGAGGCUGAGGCAGGAAGAUCAUGAGUUCAAAGCCAGCCUCAGCAAAAGUGAGGCACUAAGCAACUCAGUGAGACCCCGUCUCUA
rnacentral:sRNA from 1 species